rnacentral:rRNA from 1 species
AGUGAACGCUGGCGGUAGGCCUAACACAUGCAAGUCGAACGGCAGCACAGUAAGAGCUUGCUCUUACGGGUGGCGAGUGGCGGACGGGUGAGGAAUACAUCGGAAUCUACUUUUUCGUGGGGGAUAACGUAGGGAAACUUACGCUAAUACCGCAUACGACCUACGGGUGAAAGCAGGGGAUCUUCGGACCUUGCGCGAUUGAAUGAGCCGAUGUCGGAUUAGCUAGUUGGCGGGGUAAAGGACCACCAAGGCGACGAUCCGUAGCUGGUCUGAGAGGAUGAUCAGCCACACUGGAACUGAGACACGGUCCAGACUCCUACGGGAGGCAGCAGUGGGGAAUAUUGGACAAUGGGCGCAAGCCUGAUCCAGCCAUACCGCGUGGGUGAAGAAGGCCUUCGGGUUGUAAAGCCCUUUUGUUGGGAAAGAAAAGCAGCAGGUUAAUACCCCGCUGUUCUGACGGUACCCAAAGAAUAAGCACCGGCUAACUUCGUG